UUCGUAGCUCAGCUGGUUAGAGCGAACGACUCAUAAUCGUUAGGUCCGGGGUUCGAAUCCCUGCGA
rnacentral:tRNA from 1 species